AUACGUAGGUGGCAAGCGUUGUCCGGAAUUACUGGGUGUAAAGGGCGUGUAGGCGGAGCGGCAAGUCAGAAGUGAAAUCUCUGGGCUCAACCCGGAAACUGCUUUUGAAACUGUCGCCCUUGAGUAUCGGAGAGGCAGGCGGAAUUCCUAGUGUAGCGGUGAAAUGCGUAGAUAUUAGGAGGAACACCAGUGGAGAAGGCGGCCUGCUGGACGACAACUGACGCGGAGGCGCGAAAGCGUGGGGAGCAAACAGGAUUAGAUACCCUGGUAGUCCACGCCGUAAACGAUGGAUACUAGGUGUGGGGGGACUGACCCCCUCCGUGCCGCAGUAAACACAAUAAGUAUCCCACCUGGGGAGUACGACCGCAAGGUUGAAACUCAAAUGAAUUGACGGGG
rnacentral:rRNA from 1 species